rnacentral:ncRNA from 1 species
CACAGGGGUGCUGAGAAAUCGGCUGAGAUCAUACCCUAAACCUGAGACGGAUAAUGCCGGCGUAGGGAGCUGUAAU